rnacentral:rRNA from 1 species
UACAGAGGUCUCAACCGUUGUUCGGAUUCAUUGGGCGUAAAGGGUGCGUAGGCGGCGGGGUAAGUCAGGUGUGAAAUCUCGGGGCUCAACCCCGAAACUGCACUUGAUACUGCCUCGCUUGAGUACUGGAGAGGAGACUGGAAUUUACGGUGUAGCAGUGAAAUGCGUAGAUAUCGUAAGGAAGACCAGUGGCGAAGGCGGCUCUCUGGGACGGUACUGACGCUGAGACGCGAAAGCGUGGGGAGCGAACAGG